rnacentral:SRP_RNA from 1 species
UUAGGGGAAGUAGAUAAGGGAUGCGGUGCUCAUUCUGUCAGGUCCGAAAGGAAGCAGCAGAAGCGUUGUUAUCCUUGUAUGUACUUCCUCUUUAUU